rnacentral:rRNA from 1 species
GUGGGGAAUUUUGGACAAUGGGCGAAAGCCUGAUCCAGCAAUGCCGCGUGUGUGAAGAAGGCCUUCGGGUUGUAAAGCACUUUUGUCCGGAAAGAAAUCUGUCUGGCUAAUACCUAGAUGGGAUGACGGUACCGGAAGAAUAAGCACCGGCUAACUACGUGCCAGCAGCCGCGGUAAUACGUAGGGUGCGAGCGUUAAUCGGAAUUACUGGGCGUAAAGCGUGCGCAGGCGGUUUUGUAAGACCGAUGUGAAAUCCCCGGGCUUAACCUGGGAACUGCAUUGGUGACUGCAAGGCUAGAGUGCGUCAGAGGGGGGUGGAAUUCCGCGUGUAGCAGUGAAAUGCGUAGAGAUGCGGAGGAACACCGAUGGCGAAGGCAGCCCCCUGGGAUGACACUGACGCUCAUGCACGAAAGCGUGGGGAGCAAACAGGAUUAGAUACCCUUGUAGUCC